UCCAGAUCUCAGCUGUGUUGACUUACAGCCAACUUGAGUUACAAGCUUCCCUCAGGAACUGAUCAAGUUGUAAGAAAAGGGUCCACCAUAGAACGCUGAGUCUGGAAGGUCAAGCCCACCUGCGCAGAUGCUCACUUGGGCCCCCAGGUGGCCGUGUAGACGGCAGGUGCAGAGUGGCUUUUGAGGAACUCCUAGGCUGAGACCUCUGGCCGGGCAGAGUGGCAGCAGGGACCACGCACACAGCUGCCCUGAGACAGCAGGGAGCUGACAACAACGCCACAGCCUGGCAUCACGAGCAUCGGGCUUCACCACACA
rnacentral:lncRNA from 1 species